AUGCGGGCGCGAGGUGCCGCCGCCCCGGAGCCGAGCCGAGAGCGGAGCGCGGACAGCGGAGCGCGCAGACGGACGCGGGGCCGCCGAGCCUCCGGGAAGGGAGGGGACGCUCCGGCCUGCGCCCCUCCGCGAGCCGGGUCCCGCCCUCCCCGCCGCUGCCCCCGCGCCCCGGGUCGCGCGGUCCCUCGGGGUCCGCCGCGCACUCCGGGGGCGGGUCCCGGCUCGCGCCCCGCGCCCUCGCCGCGCCCUCCGCCGCCCCCGCCGCCCCGCCCCGCCCGCUCCGCCCGCGGGACCCGGUCCCUCCUCGCCCUCGCCCGGCCCGGCCCGGCCCGGCCCGGCCCGGGGCGCCCGCUCACCGUCGCUCGGCGCGGGCAGCAGCGGCGGCAGCAGCAGCAGCAGCGGCAGCAGGAGCCGGGGCCGGCGCGGCGCGGCGCGGGGAGCGGCCAUGGGGCUCUCGGUCCGCCCGGCUGGGCUCGGCGAGCGCGGCUCCGGGGCCUCGGGAGGCUCACAGCGUCCCGCGGGGGCGGCGGCGGGGCCGGGGCCGGGGCUCGGGCCGGGGCCGAGCCCGGGCGGCGGCGGGCUGGGGCCACAUGCCGGCCUAGGAGCGCCGGGGGCGCGGGGGGAGCGCCGCUCGCGCCAUCUUGCACCCUCGCGGGCGAUCUGUCAGCCUCGCCGGGGAGCGCGCUCCGCACUCGCACUCGCUCUCGCUCUCGCUCUCGCUCUCGCCCUCGCCCCGCCCGCGCCGCCCCGCCCUCCGCCCGCGCCCGCGCCCCCUCCCGCCCCGCCCGGUCCCCUCCCCCAGCCCCUCUCCCCGGAGGCCCGGUCUGGGGAACAAAAGAGCCGGCGAGCGCUUUAAGCGGCCGGACAUUCCCGGCUGCGCGGCGGACGCGCCCCCUGCGCUUUGAACUGCGGCUGGAGCGGCCGGCGCCGUCCCGGGCUGCUGCCCGGCACCCCCGGCACCCCGGCACCCCCGGCACCCCCGGCACCCCGGCACCCCCGGCACCCCCGGCACCCCGGCACCCCGGCACCCCCGGCACCCCGGCACCCCCCUCCCCGCGGCCGGCCGGGGACGCGGGGGCCUGCGGAAGGGGACCCCCGCGGACGGCAGAGCGACUCGCGAAGCCGUGGGACUUGCCCUGCCCGCCUCUCCCCGCUGCACCCUCCUCCGCCGCGUCCAAGUGUGCAUCUUCGAGAUCAUUCCCCAAAAGCUCCACAAACUUGUCAAAGGUUCGGGUUUCCCCGGUCUCUGAUCCUGCCACCCAAAGGCUAGGACGUUUAGCUGCAAGGCUGGCCUCUCCGGACUGCAGAGUUCUGGCGCUGGGAUGGACCGGAGGUAGAAGGGCAGCUUCCCCCCACCCACCCCACCCCGGGUUCGGGGGGCCUUGA
rnacentral:lncRNA from 1 species